AAUCAACGCUGGCGGCGUGCCUAACACAUGCAAGUCGAGCGGUAAGGCCCCUUCGGGGGUACACGAGCGGCGAACGGGUGAGUAACACGUGGGUGACCUGCCCUCAGCUCUGGGAUAAGCCUGGGAAACUGGGUCUAAUACCGGAUAUGACUCCAUGACGCAUGUCGUGGGGUGGAAAGCCUUGUGCGGCUGGGGAUGGGCCCGCGGCCUAUCAGCUUGUUGGUGGGGUGAUGGCCUACCAAGGCGACGACGGGUAGCCGGCCUGAGAGGGCGACCGGCCACACUGGGACUGAGACACGGCCCAGACUCCUACGGGAGGCAGCAGUCGGGAAUUUUGGGCAAUGGGCGAAAGCCUGACCCAGCAACGCCGCGUGAAGGAUGAAAUCCCUCGGGAUGUAAACUUCGCAAGAACGGGAAGAAUAAGUA
rnacentral:rRNA from 1 species